rnacentral:rRNA from 1 species
UCAUUUUAGUCCAGAAGUGGAUACCUCCUCCAUCUAUGACCGCCUCACGUAUACUGGUCCACAGGAGGUCCAAGACGUAGUAGUUACACAUGGAGAUCUAAGACGUAGUAAUCACUCGUUGAAUGGAUUCGUUGGCUCGGGUUAGUUGUUAACCAUCUUCAUCAAUACUCUACUCCGUCUCCUCUCGUCUCUCCUGGCCUCUUCCUCAACGCCUGGAGCGGUUGUUCCGGCACUGGGAUGUAGUGAUUUUUUUUACGCGGCAUAAACAAAGAGUACGAAAUGGUACCGUACAAGAAUAAUCAAGUCCAACCAGAGAGGCCAAGAAAAGCGGUUACCGAACUACAUGCGUGACCGUUGGAGAAUGACCUUCCUAAGCCGUACGGAGACAAGCUCUCUACCCUAUACUUCUUUACCGCAAGACCAACAGAAGUACAGCGACAACACGAUGACGAUCCGUACUUGUCUUACCGGAGGAGAAUAACGCUUGGUGUGACUACAACCGAAGACUAAAGACGACAUUACCUAAUAAAUGAUACCUGUUUAUACCGUUAUAAGUAAACCUCGUGGCAAAGAACUCCUAUACAGAGAAGAUGUCUGAACUCUUUCUUCUCUAUCCCGGUUAUUUUAAUCCACCCUCCAUACGACUACCCAAGUAAAAUCGUAAUGAUUAGCUGGCGAACCGUAGGACUUCGACUUUCUAAUCGCUCUGACUGAUUUAAGAUUUGUACAAGGUACACUCUCUUUAUCGUACAACUAAAGUAGAACUUUAUUAGUAUCAACUCCCUACUCCAAGCAUUGGCUCCCAGUACACGUCUCGACCUCCUUCUUCAACGCUCCGAACUUUGAGACACUUCCCGAGUCCCUGUCGUCACUCCUGUUACGGAGAAAUCAACAUUAACACUAUGAGAACUACACGUUAAUUUGUGAGGACACUAUGAGGAAUACGAUUUUACAACCAACAAUCAUGUCUCCACCACUGUAAUAAACCAAGAGACCAUAACUAAAGUACUAAACACCAAUUAUGUACUACAUUAUGUUAGGUG